rnacentral:rRNA from 1 species
GACGAACGCUGGCGGCGUGCUUAACACAUGCAAGUCGAACGGAAAGGCCCUGCUUUUGUGGGGUGCUCGAGUGGCGAACGGGUGAGUAACACGUGAGUAACCUGCCCUUGACUUUGGGAUAACUUCAGGAAACUGGGGCUAAUACCGGAUAGGAGCUCCUGCUGCAUGGUGGGGGUUGGAAAGUUUCGGCGGUUGGGGAUGGACUCGCGGCUUAUCAGCUUGUUGGUGGGGUAGUGGCUUACCAAGGCUUUGACGGGUAGGCGGCCUGGGAGGGUGACCGGCCACAUUGGGACUGAGAUACGGCCCAGACGCCUACGGGAGGCAGCAGUGGGGAAUAUUGCACAAUGGGCGGAAGCCUGUUGCAACAGCGCCGCGUGCGGGAUGACGGCCUUCGGGGUAUAAACCGCUUUCGCCUGUGACGAAGCGUGAGUGACGGUAAUGAGUAAAGAAGCACCGGCUAACUACGUG